rnacentral:tRNA from 1 species
ACAUUAGUAGUAUAAGUUAUUAUACUGCUUUUCCAAAGCAGAGAUCUAAGAGUUUAGCUAAUGUA